rnacentral:rRNA from 1 species
GCUAAACGCGAAGAACCUUACCAGCCCUUGACAUGGCAGGACGGUUUCCAGAGAUGGAUUCCUUCACUUCGGUGACCUGCACACAGGUGCUGCAUGGCUGUCGUCAGCUCGUGUCGUGAGAUGUUGGGUUAAGUCCCGCAACGAGCGCAACCCUCGCCUUUAGUUGCCAUCAUUUAGUUGGGCACUCUAGAGGGACUGCCGGUGAUAAGCCGGAGGAAGGUGGGGAUGACGUCAAGUCUUCAUGGCCCUUACGGGCUGGGCUACACACGUGCUACAAUGGCGGUGACAGAGGGCAGCUAGUCCGCGAGGACAUGCUAAUCCCUAAAAGCCGUCUCAGUUCGGAUUGCACUCUGCAACUCGAGUGCAUGAAGUUGGAAUCGCUAGUAAUCGCAGAUCAGCAUUGCUGCGGUGAAUACGUUCCCGGGUCUUGUACACACCG